UAGGUCUCAGUUCGGACUGUAGGCUGCAACUCGCCUACACGAAGUUGGAAUUGCUAGUAAUCGUGGAUCAGCAUGCCACGGUGAAUACGUUCCCGGGUCUUGUACACACCGCCCGUCACACCAUGGGAGCUGGUAACACCCGAAGUCAGUAGUCUAACCGCAAGGAGGACGCGGCCUAAGGUGGGUUCGAUAAUUGGGGUGAAGUCGUAACAAGGUAUC
rnacentral:rRNA from 1 species